GGCGCAGGCGGCCUGGUAAGUCGAAUGUGAAAUCUCCCGGCUUAACUGGGAGGGGUCAUUCGAUACUAUCAAGCUGGAGUGCGACAGGGGGAGGUAGAAUUCCCGGUGUAGUGGUGAAAUGCGUAGAUAUCGGGAGGAAUACCAGUGGCGAAGGCGGCCUCCUGGGUCGUUACUGACGCUUAAGCCCGAAAGCGUGGGGAGCAAACAGGAUCAGAUACCCUGGUAGUCCACGCUGCAAACUAUGGACACUGGGUAUGGGGAGUAUCGACCCUCUCCGUGCCGAAGUUAACGCGUUAAGUGUCCCGUCUGGGAACUACGGCCGCAAGGCUAAA
rnacentral:rRNA from 1 species